rnacentral:rRNA from 1 species
GAGACUCUGUGCGCGUGCAUAUCAAUAAGCGGAGGAAAAGAAACUAACAAGGAUUCCCUUAGUAACGGCGAGUGAAGCGGGAAGAGCUCAAAUUUGAAAUCUUCAAGGUUCUACCUUGACGAAUUGUAGUUUAUAGAAGUGUUUUCUGUUAGUAGAGUGGCAAAAGUUCUUUGGAAUAGGACAUCAUAGAGGGUGAGAAUCCCGUAUUUGGUCAUUCUUUCUAGCUUUGUGAUACACUUUCAACGAGUCGGAUUGUUUGGGAAUGCAGUCCAAAAUGGGUGGUAAAUUUCAUCUAAAGCUAAAUAUUGGCGAGAGACCGAUAGCGAACAAGUACCGUGAGGGAAAGAUGAAAAGAACUUUGAAAAGAGAGUUAAACAGUACGUGAAAUUGUCAAAAGGGAAGCGUUUGACACCAGUGUUGUUUUCUCGAAAAUCAAUUAGAAAAGGCCGGAUUUUGUGUUGUAUUGACCUUAUCAAGCUUUCUGCACUUUUUUCUUGUCUUUUUUAAUGCACUUUUCGUUUAACAAGUCAACAUCAAUUUCUUUUGUUGUAAAAGGGUCAUUGGAAGGUGGCUUUCAUUUCGGUGAAAGUGUUUAUAGCCUUUGACUUCUGCAAUCGGAGAGAUUGAGGUCUGCAGCGUAGAUCCUUCGGGGUUAGAUACAUUUGUGCUAAGUUAUAGCUUUUCAUAGACAACUUGUUGACUAUGUUAAGUCUUGUAGCUUACUCGCUUAUGCUAUUUUACCUACGCUUAGGAUGUUGACAGCAGUAUAGACUGU